UACAACAAGAUGGUAAAUGGUGUGACAUCUCUUAUGGCUGCUAGAGAUGCUAACUCAACAGAAUGUAUCAAGCUCCUAGUUAAGGUUCAGGAGGAGCCCAUGCUUAAACGGGAAAUCGUGGCAUCAGAGCUUAUAUCACUAGGGAAUAUCUCUUUAAAGAA